UACAGAGGUCCCGAGCGUUGUUCGGAUUCACUGGGCGUAAAGGGUGCGUAGGUGGCGAGGUAAGUCGGAUGUGAAAGCUCGGAGCUCAACUCCGGAAAUGGCAUUGGAAACUACCUUGCUCGAGGGUUGGAGGGGGGACUGGAAUGCUUGGUGUAGCAGUGAAAUGCGUAGAUAUCAAGCGGAACACCAGUGGCGAAGGCGAGUCCCUGGACAACUCCUGACACUGAGGCACGAAAGCUAGGGGAGCAAACAGG
rnacentral:rRNA from 1 species